UUCUUGUCGAUCUUGUUAAAUAAUAAUCAGUUUUUUAUGAUUCCAAGUAUUAUUAUAUUAAUUCAGAGUAAAAUUUGUCGUUUUUUCUCACUAAAUAUUGAUCAUCGUAAUUAGUGAACGUUCUUUUAUUAUCAAUGAAUAAAUUUUUGUAUGGAAAUCUUAUCCAGUGUUUUUUUGAUGGGUGUUUGUUGCGGAGCAGCUCCUGGAGGAGAUCUUGCAUGGCUGAGCGCAGUUCAAUACAGUUGGUGCAGUGCAGAGGAAGUUUCGUCUUUUUGCUGUCAUCGUAUCUAUCUUUCACAGUGUGUAAAUAAGUGAAAAGUGUGCUCAAGAAAGAAAGGACAUGAAGGAAGGAUGUGGACGAAGAAAAGUGGCCCCAGCAUGCUGCCAUAUUAUUUUCCAAAUGUAGUCUAUUUUUUUUUAUUUUAUUUUUUUGCUGGCAGCAUCCCCCCCGACCUGUGCAGAAGUGCAGGAAGAGACAGGGAUCUCGGGGGUGGUCCAAGAAGAAGCCAAGGUAGGGGCAUUGGUUAUCAUUGCUCCAACGUUGGAUCGCCGAUCGGUGAGUCGUAUUUUUGUUUAAAACCUUCCCUGUUUUAAUUUGUUUCUUUAAUCAAUUUUCUUUGCAUCAAAAAAUUAAUUACAAUGAAAUUUAAUUCAUAAAAUGAAAAUUAAUUUGUUUUUAAUAUUUUUAAUUUAUUAAUUUUUGGAAUAAUUUUUUCUACAUUACGAAAAAAUGAAUGAAUUAUAUUAUAUUAUAUUCAUUCAAUCGUAAUAUUAAAAACAGGGAGGGAAUCCUUUCAACAUGGUGACAUCAUUGACAAAAUUUAUUAUUUUAUGUAGUAAUUUUUAUAAUUACUAUUUUGUCUCGAAAUUUGAAUUGUUGGUUAAAAAUAACUAAUUGUUAGCAAAAGCUUGGCUCACUUUUUUUUUAUCAAUUCUUUAACAAUAACUAAAUUUCAGUAAAAUAUUAAAUAAAAUUUUUUUUUUAUUUUAUAAAAAUUUUUUUUUUUUAAUUCUUUAGUGAUUUGUUACUUCCAAUUAAAUAAUUAGUAGAAACUAUUUGAAUCAGUGACUGAUUUUUUUGCUAUCAAUUUACAGUUAUUUUUGAUUAAUUCAAAUUAAGAGAAUGAAUUAAUAUUUUUGUCAAUUUUUUCUUCUUUAUUGUUAUUGUUUGUGUAUGUAUGUGUAUGAUUUUGAGCUCAGGUGACGGUAACGGUCCCGGGACGUUAGCCCUAGUUUAGGUCCUUUGCACCUGGGCGGUAUGUGAGAUUCGGCGUUUGAAAAAUAAAAUUUUUUAUUUUAAAUAUAGCUAUAGGUAGGAAGGAAUAGCUUUUUUUUGUAUGAGUGUGUUUUAUUUCGAUUUAAAUUUACGGGCAGGUAGGAAAAUCAGGAAUACACACAUAAUUUGUGUGUGUCACAUUUACUGGUGAAUCCAGUAAAAUAUACUUUACUAUUUUCUUUAUGUCACUAUGUUGUUGGGAUAUAUUAUUUCUUGAUUUUCUUUCUGAAUUGUAUAUUAAAUAUUUUUUGUUUGUUUAAUUAUUUUCUUUUUCAGUUAUUUUGGUGAGAAAUAUUUUUAUGUUUUUUUAUCUUUUUAAUUCUAUUGUUUAUUUUUCAGGAAUUUAUUAAUUAAUUUUUAUUUAUUUUCAGUUUUUUUCUAGAAAAUGAUUACAAAUAUUAUAACACAUUCUCUAGAAUUUAUAAUAUUUUGUAAUUAUAGUAUUAUAUAA